rnacentral:lncRNA from 1 species
CGCAAGUUGGCUGAGACUCGGGGGGAGAGGACAUAGAGCCCACUUCUCCAUGACAUUUGCUCGGACGGGGGGUCCCAACUGCCCCAAUAGCUUUGGACAUCCCAUGUGCAUUGCUUGAAUGAGCAGGACCCCAGGGUUCUUCCAGAGGAGCAGAAGUCUCAGAAAUCCAGGAAUCUAUUUUGCUUCUGAAGUGGCUGUCCAAUCAGGAUUUACCUUUUACCACUUGGUUGGAGAGGUGGGGGAAGAAGAGACUGGAGGAAAUAGAAGCUGAAGACAGGACUAGAUGUGUCUCCCUCCCCAGCCUCCUUUCUCUGCAGAGGUGGAGGAAUCACGGAAGCUAUCGUGGCUUUAGGUGUUGACUUUUGUCAAUGUUUGCUGAAGCCAGGAGUGAAAUUGAGACAAUAUUCCGAUUCUUGGAACCUGAGUUAGCGUUAAAGGGGAUGACAAACAGGCUGUUGUUAGGAGGUAGUUCCAUGUAAUAGGAAGAGUUUCCACCUCCCUCAGAGGCUGCCUUUCUCGUUUCUCCAAAUGAUUUCGCGGUUGGCCUAAGUUUCCUUUACUUCUCCCUACGAUGGUGUAACAUUAGCUUGAAUGCUGACGCUAUGUGGUGGUGAGCGGCAGUGGGUGUAUCUUGCCCAUAAACCCUUGGAGGACAGUGGAGGACAGGGACUGACCAACUCACCCAAGGGUCCUCUGCAUGCACAUGGUCCCUGCACAUGGCACAUAGUUGGUGCUCAGAAGGCCUUUGCUGGAACAAAGGAAAACACAAGCACCCACAGCAGUGAUGGCUGAUUUUGUCGGGUCUGCAAUGGAGAUUAGUCACCACUAGGUGUCAUGGUGAGUCAAGAAACAUUUUGGCUCAUGGUUACAAAUUAUGCGUUUACUGUAUUCAUCUUCGUGCAUGCACACAUGCAAUGUUUUACAAAGCAUCUGUUGAGUGUCUACGGCACAACACACACGUUCUGGUGCUGGAGAUCCUGCCCUGGCUGAGCUUCUGGACCUGGUGGGGAGAAAUCCACAAUGAGUACUGAGACGACCGGCAAAAGCCCGGUGAAGGCACCUAGGAGUAGGGCCUGCUUACCCUGGAGGAGUCGGGAGCAGCUUCCACAGCAAGGAGGCUUCUAAGAUUUUUUGUUCUUUGUCAGCAUGAGUACCUGGGAUCUUACAUGUAGCCCCUGCAUCAUUUCAGAAAUGAUCUCCAGUGCCCAGGCUCUGAUGCCCAACAGACCUGAAGUUACAUCCCAACCUGAACAGGCGGCUUUUGCUCUCCAGGCCUUCAUUGCCCCACAGUGGGAACAAUAAUAAUAUGCACCUUCUAGGUACCCAAAAGCACAAGAGACAGUGAACGGAAAGUGCUUGGAAGCCCCGUGCCCAGGUGGUGCUGGCCCCAGCUGAACUGCGGGGAUAGAUGUUGAGUGUCCAGGUUCUAGCAUCAUAGAACAGAAUCCGGCCUGUUGGGAAAUCCUGCCUACAAGUAUACCUCCAUUAAUUAGUGUCUUCUGUGAACAUUUUUAUUAAAAAAAGAAGAAAAGCUUCUCAA